rnacentral:rRNA from 1 species
AGAGUUUGAUCAUGGCUCAGAUUGAACGCUGGCGGCGUGCCUAACACAUGCAAGUCGAGCGGUAACAGGCGUAGCAAUACGUGCUGACGAGCGGCGAACGGGUGAGUAACGCUUCGGAAUCUGCCCAAUGGUGGGGAAUAACCAGCCGAAAGGUUGGCUAAUUCCGCAUGAGCCCUACGGGGGAAAGCGGGGGAUCGCAAGACCUCGCGCCGAUGGAUGAGCCGAAGCCGGAUUAGCUAGUUGGUAGGGUAACGGCCUACCAAGGCGACGAUCCGUAGCUGGUCUGAGAGGACGACCAGCCACACUGGGACUGGGACACGGCCCAGACUCCUACGGGAGGCAGCAGUGGGGAAUAUUGGACAAUGGGGGAAACCCUGAUCCAGCGACGCCGCGUGUGUGAAGAAGGCCUGCGGGUUGUAAAGCACUUUUAGUGGGGAUGAAAAGCUCAGGGCUAACACCUCUGGGUCUUGACCUAACCCACAGAAAAAGCACCGGCUAACUCUGUGCCAGCAGCCGCGGUAAUACAGAGGGUGCAAGCGUUAAUCGGAAUUACUGGGCGUAAAGCGUACGUAGACGGUUGGAUAAGUCGGAUGUGAAAGCCCCGGGCUCAACCUGGGAAUGGCAUUCGAGACUGUUCAGCUAGGGUGCGGAAGAGGGAAGCGGAAUUUCCGGUGUAGCGGUGAAAUGCGUAGAUAUCGGAAGGAACACCAGUGGCGAAAGCGGCUUCCUGGUCCAGCACCGACGUUCAGGUACGAAAGCAUGGGGAGCAAACAGGAUUAGAUACCCUAGUAGUCC